UACGAAGGGGGCUAGCGUUGCUCGGAAUCACUGGGCGUAAAGCGCACGUAGGCGGAUUGUUAAGUCAGGGGUGAAAUCCUGGAGCUCAACUCCAGAACUGCCUUUGAUACUGGCGAUCUCGAGUCCGGGAGAGGUGAGUGGAACUGCGAGUGUAGAGGUGAAAUUCGUAGAUAUUCGCAAGAACACCAGUGGCGAAGGCGGACUCACUGGCCCGGUACUGACGCUGAGGUG
rnacentral:rRNA from 1 species